rnacentral:rRNA from 1 species
CCUACGGGAGGCAGCAGUGAGGAAUAUUGGUCAAUGGACGAGAGUCUGAACCAGCCAAGUAGCGUGAAGGAUGACUGCCCUAUGGGUUGUAAACUUCUUUUAUAUGGGAAUAAAAUGCUCCACGUGUGGCGUUCUGUAUGUACCAUAUGAAUAAGGAUCGGCUAACUCCGUGCCAGCAGCCGCGGUAAUACGGAGGAUCCGAGCGUUAUCCGGAUUUAUUGGGUUUAAAGGGAGCGUAGGCGGAUGGUAAAGUCAGUGGUAAAAUUGUGCGGCUAAACCGCACAAUGCAGGUGAAACUGGCAGUCUUGAGUACAGUAGAGGUGGGCGGAAUGCGUGGUGUAGCGGUGAAAUGCAUAGAUAUCACGAAGAACUCCGAUUGCGAAGGCAGCUCACUGGAGUGCAACUGACGCUGAGGCUCGAAAGUGUGGGUAUCAAACAGGAUUAGAUACCCUGGUAGUC